UCAAGGUGCUGUAGGAGAGUGCACCAGCAAUGUGUCCUCAGUCUCAGACACAUUAAUUAUUAUUUAUCAGGAUGAUGAACUUAUUUAUAUCUAUUUCUACCUUAUUUUAAGCUAUUUAUUUACAGGUCCUGUCAGUUAAUGUAAUAAUUGUCCCAACCACAGCGAUCGGAGGUGUGCUGCAACCCCCCACCCCCCAACCCAGUUCCACUGCAAUCAGGGACAAGCUGCAUGUGUGUGUUUAGCGCGCCGCACAUGCACAUUUUACUGCUUUUAGCAGCUCAGAAACCUGCAGGUACAGUGUGUGUCACUCGCUCUGGUUAAUCUAAGAGGGAGCCCGCUCUGAGAGCCGUUUUCUAUUAUUUAUUUAUUUCAGCGAUCAUCACAUUACUACAUCAUUCCCUUUCCUAAUGUCCUGAAGGACGGUCCAGAGCGCAGGCGGUGUUUUGUUAACCGCAGGAAAUGUCGACGACAGUUAUCCAGAAAGUAGCUAAGGGUUACCAAAAAUGUUUCUGGGGUGUUCGCUAGGCACUUUUAAGAUCUAAAAAGUCAAGAAGGGGUCUAAAAAGCUGUUGGAAAUAGCAACAAAGUCGCUAAAUUGGCAACACUGUGGGAGGAGCGCUUGAUUUGCAACUCAGGGCAGCGCAGGAGGGAGGAGCAAAUGAUCAGCUUUUUUUAUAGUUCUAAAUUCAGAUCAUAAUUGGGAUUAAAAUUCAAUUAAUUGAGCAGCCCUAUGUGAUAUUCCAUAUAAAUAUGAAUUAUCAAGCUGAUUUGUCUUUGAAUAACUAAUAAGAGCUUUCUUGAUGAAAAAAAAAAAUCAAGAAAGCUCACCAAAAUUGCAGAUACUCUAACUGGGCCUUUGUGCAAAGGCACCACCAUCCCAUACAUGGCAGGAGUCUCAGAAAAACUUUGAAGAAUCUUCUCCAAACACAACAUCCCGGUAAACUUUAAACCCAACAACACCCUCAGACAGAAAUUGGUCCAUCCAAAAGACAAAACACCCAAACAGAAGCUCAGUGGCAUCGUUUAUGCAGUCCAAUGUACUCAGCUGUUUCUGAAUCACAUCUCGCCCUCAACGCACCCACUUUCUGCCAUAAAUGGUCAAUCCAAAGUGCCUUGUGGUUCUCAUGCAUAUAUAUAAGCCGGCUCAUAGCAGCGCUCCACCAUUAACGAUGGCGACCGCGGAUCAAGGAAGCGCCAUUUCACGAGCAGAAAUUGAGGUACUUGUGGGUGAGGUGGAGAUAUGAAAGGAAGUGUCACGGUCCGUGGUGAGCCUCCUGCAUGUAAUCUGUUUGUUCUGAGUAUUGUUGCAGGUGGGUGUGUCUGAGAGCCACCAGCUGCAGCUGAUCCCGUCAUCAAGGCCCAGGGGAUUUAAGGAGCAGUGUGACACUUCACCACGCUGGAUGAUUGCUCAGCUUUGGGUUUCACUCCACACUCCACCAUCUCAAUACCAGCUCGGAUUCCUGCACUUCAUCUUACGCUGUCUCCUCCCCUGGCCGCCCGCUCUCAGCCGCUCGCCUGCACCCACCAAGCCUCUGCUCCUACCUCCUCUCAUAUUCGACAGUUCCUCCUCCUUCUGGAGCCUUCCUGCUCACCCGGACCUGACCUAGCCCUUCCAGAGGCUCUCACCGCUAUCUACAUCAAAUCCUCUCCUGGAGCCUUGCUGCCAGCCUGCACGUCACCUGUUCCCGUUCCUCUCAUUUAAUAAUAAAGAACGUUUUACUUACUUGCCGAUUUCUUGUGAU